UCCGCCGUGGUGUAACUGGCAGCACAAUGUCUUUUGGCGUCAUUGGUUCGGGUUCGAGUCCUGACGGCGGAG
rnacentral:tRNA from 1 species